AGCUUUUUAUGAAGUAUUAGCAAUUUUCUUUGCUGUGGAGGUGGUGAGGAGUGAGGAAAGUACCAUACUGCAGCAGACUUUUAAACUUUAAAUAGACAGGUCUGAGUGCCUGAACUUCCUUUUUCAUUUUACAUUAUCCUCUAAGACUAUCAAUCGCUUGGCAUGCCUACUUCACUUCUUUUAAGAGAAAAAAUGAGUCAAAUUUU
rnacentral:other from 1 species